rnacentral:rRNA from 1 species
GAUUCUGGCUCAGAGUGAACGCUGGCGGCGUGCCUAAUACAUGCAAGUCGAACGAUGAAGCUCUAGCUUGCUAGAGUGGAUUAGUGGCGCACGGGUGAGUAAUGCAUAGAUAACAUGCCCUUUAGUCUAGGAUAGCCAUUGGAAACGAUGAUUAAUACUGGAUACUCCUUACGAGGGAAAGUUUUUCGCUAAAGGAUUGGUCUAUGUCCUAUCAGCUUGUUGGUGAGGUAAUGGCUCACCAAGGCUAUGACGGGUAUCCGGCCUGAGAGGGUGAACGGACACACUGGAACUGAGACACGGUCCAGACUCCUACGGGAGGCAGCAGUAGGGAAUAUUGCUCAAUGGGGGAAACCCUGAAGCAGCAACGCCGCGUGGAGGAUGAAGGUUUUCGGAUUGUAAACUCCUUUUGUUAGAGAAGAUAAUGACGGUAUCUAACGAAUAAGCACCGGCUAACUCCGUGCCAGCAGCCGCGGUAAUACGGAGGGUGCAAGCGUUACUCGGAAUCACUGGGCGUAAAGAGCGCGUAGGCGGGAUAGCAAGUCAGAUGUGAAAUCCUAUGGCUUAACCAUAGAACUGCAUUUGAAACUGUUAUUCUAGAGUAUGGGAGAGGUAGGUGGAAUUCUUGGUGUAGGGGUAAAAUCCGUAGAGAUCAAGAGGAAUACUCAUUGCGAAGGCGACCUGCUAGAACAUAACUGACGCUGAUGCGCGAAAGCGUGGGGAGCAGACAGGAUUAGAUACCCUGGUAGUCCACGCCCUAAACGAUGAAUGCUAGUUGUUGUGGAGCUUGUCUCUGCAGUAAUGCAGCUAACGCAUUAAGCAUUCCGCCUGGGGAGUACGGUCGCAAGAUUAAAACUCAAAGGAAUAGACGGGGACCCGCACAAGCGGUGGAGCAUGUGGUUUAAUUCGAAGAUACACGAAGAACCUUACCUAGGCUUGACAUUGAUAGAAUCCGCUAGAGAUAGUGGAGUGCUAGCUUGCUAGAACUUGAAAACAGGUGCUGCACGGCUGUCGUCAGCUCGUGUCGUGAGAUGUUGGGUUAAGUCCCGCAACGAGCGCAACCCUCGUCCUUAGUUGCUAACUAUUCGGUAGAGCACUCUAAGGAGACUGCCUUCGCAAGGAGGAGGAAGGUGAGGAUGACGUCAAGUCAUCAUGGCCCUUACGCCUAGGGCUACACACGUGCUACAAUGGGAAGCACAAAGAGAUGCAAUAUUGUGAAAUGGAGCAAAUCUAUAAAACUUCUCUCAGUUCGGAUUGUAGUCUGCAACUCGACUACAUGAAGCUGGAAUCGCUAGUAAUCGUAAAUCAGCUAUGUUACGGUGAAUACGUUCCCGGGUCUUGUACUCACCGCCCGUCACACCAUGGGAGUUGUAUUCGCCUUAAGUCGGAAUGCCAAACUGGCUACCGCCCACGGCGGAUGCAGCGACUGGGGUGAAGUCGUAACAAGGUACCC